UUGUGCCAGCAGCCGCGGUAAUUCCAGUAGAGGGGGAGCGUAUAUUAAAGUUGUUGCAGUUAAAAAGCCCUGGAGGUGAAACUUGGGCCUGGCUGGCAGGUCCGCCUCACCGCGUGUACUUGUCCGGCCGGGCCUUUCCUUCUGGAGAACCUCAUGCCCUUCACUGGGUGUGUUGGGGAACCAGGACUUUUACUUUGAAAAAAUUAGAGUGUUCAAAGCAGGCCUUUGCUCGAAUACGUUAGCAUGGAAUAAUAGAAUAGGACGUGCGGUCCUAUUUUGUUGGUUUCUAGGACCGCCGUAAUGAUUAAUAGGGACAGUCGGGGGCAUCAGUAUUCAAUUGUCAGAGGUGAAAUUCUUGGAUUUAUUGAAGACUAACUACUGCGAAAGCAUUUGCCAAGGAUGUUUUCAUUAAUCAGUGAACGAAAGUUAGGGGAUCGAAGACGAUCAGAUACCGUCGUAGUCUUAACCGUAAACUAUGCCGACUAGGGAUCGGGCGAUGUUCUUUUUCUGACUCGCUCGGCACCUUACGAGAAAUCAAAGUUUUUGGGUUCUGGGGGGAGUAUGGUCGCAAGGCUGAAACUUAAAGAAAUUGACGGAAGGGCACCACCAGGCGUGGAGCCUGCGGGCUUAAUUUUGACUCAACACGGGGAAACUCACCAGGUCCAGAUGAAAUAAGGAUUGACAGAUUGAGAGCUCUUUCUUGAUUUUUCAGGUGGGGGUGCAUGGGGCGGUUCUUAGUUGGUGGGAGUGAUUUUGUCUGCUUAAUUGCGAUAACGAACGAGACCUUUAACCUGCUAAAUAGCCAGGCUAGCUUUGGCUGGUCGCCGGCUUUCUAAGAGGGACUUAUCGGCUCA
rnacentral:rRNA from 1 species